rnacentral:rRNA from 1 species
CCUACGGGUGGCUGCAGUGGGGAAUAUUGCACAAUGGUGGAAACCCUGAUGCAGCGACGCCGCGUGAGUGAUGACGUAUUUCGGUAUUUAAAGCUCUAUCAGCAGGGAAGAUAAUGACGGUACCUGACUAAGAAUCUCCGUCUAAAUACGUGCCAGCAGCCGCGGUAAUACGUAUGGAGCAAGCGUUAUCCGGAUUUACUGGGUGUAAUGGGAGCGCAGACGGCAGGGCAAGUCUGAUGUGCAAGUCCGGGGCUCAACCCCGGGACUGCAUUGGAAACUGUCCGGCUAGAGUGCAGGAAAGGUAAGUGGAAUUCGUAGUGUAGCGGUGAAAUGCGUAGAUAUUAGGAGGAACACCAGUUGCGAAGGCGGCUUACUGGACUGCAACUGACGUUGAGGCUCGAAAGCGUGGGGAGCAAACAGGAUUAGAUACCCUUGUAGUC